GGAGAGGUCGCCUAGCUUGGUUUAUGGCGCACGACUGGAACUCGUGUAUGGGCUAAUACCCCAUCGAGGGUUCGAAUCCCUCUCUCUCCGCCA
rnacentral:tRNA from 1 species